GGGAAAUAACGCAGGGGUUAGCGUGUUUGCUUUGCAAGCAAAAAGUCGUGGGUUCGAA
rnacentral:tRNA from 11 species